AUGGGUUUGAAAAGAAAAAUGAAGCUCUUUACUUUGAUACUUUUCUUAGCUCCCUUCUUGCUUGGUUGUAAUGGCGAUGUUAGCAGCCUCAUCAACUCGUCUCUUUUUGAAAGUAUGCUUAAACAUCGAAACGAUCAAAGAUGUAAAAGUAAUGGAUUCUACACUUACAAUGCUUUCAUAACUGCUGCCCAAUCUUUCGGUGCCUUUGGCACAACUGGUGAUGUUGCUACACGUAAAAGGGAGCUUGCGGCUUUCUUUGGUCAAACCUCUCAAUGCACCACAGGAGGGUGGCCUAAAGCACCUGAUGGACCAUAUGCAUGGGGAUAUUGCUUUGUUAGGGAAGUUAACAGGCAAUCCGGAGAUCAAUAUUAUGGUCGAGGACCUAUCCAACUUUCUUACAACUACAACUACGAUCAAGCAGGAAAAGCCAUUAGAGUCAAUCUCACAAACAAUCCAGAUCUUGUAGCCACAGACGCCGUCAUAUCGUUCAAGACAGCCAUAUGGUUUUGGAUGACCCCACAAGGAAAGAAACCAUCUAGCCAUGAUGUCAUCAUUGAAAAAUGGAAACCCUCCCCUGCUGACACUGCAGUUGGUCGAAAAUCAGGUUAUGGUGUAAUCACCAACAUUAUCAAUGGUGGGAAAGAAUGUGGCCAUGGAUAUAAUGAUAAUGUGUUUAAUAGGAUUCGUUUCUAUACGAGGUACUCUGACAUGUUGGGAGUAGACUAUGGGAAGAACUUAGAUUGCUAUAAUCAAACGUCUUUUAGCUUGGGUGACCGAGAAUGUGCUCGCAUGACCAAGAAUUCCAAUUUCACACUACCAAACUUGUCUUUGAAUUUAGCCCUCAAUACCUGUUCUUUCUUCUUGCUUGGUUGUAAUGGCGAUGUAAGCAGCCUCAUCAGCUCGUCUCUUUUUGAAAGUAUGCUUAAACAUCGAAACGAUCAAGGAUGUAGUAAUGGAUUCUACACUUACAAUGCUUUCAUAACUGCCGCCCAAUCUUUCAGUGCCUUUGGCACAACUGGUGAUGUUACUACACGUAAAAGGGAGCUUGUGGCUUUCUUUGGUCAAACCUCUCAUGAGACCACAGGAGGGUGGUCUACUGCACCUGAUGGGGAUAUUGCUUUGUUAGGGAAGUUAACAGGCAAUCUGGAGAUCAAUAUUAUGGUUGAGGACCUAUCCAACUUACUCACAACUACAACUACGAUCAAGCAGGUAAAGCCAUUGGAGUUGAUCUCAUAAACAAUUUAGAUCUUGUAGCCACAGACCCCACCAUAUCGUUCAAGACAGCCAUAUGGUUUUGGAUGACCCCGCAAGCAAACAAGCCAUCUAGCCACGAUGUCAUCAUUGGAAAUUGGAGACCUUCUUCUUCUGACACUUCAGCUGGUCGAGUGCCAGGUUAUGGUGUAAUCACCAACAUUAUCAAUGGUGGGAUCGAAUGUGGCCAUGGAUAUAAUGAUAAUGUGGCUAAUAGGAUUGGUUUCUAUAAGAGGUACUUUGACAUAUUGGGAGUAGGCUACGGGAACAACUUAGAUUGCAAUAAUCAAAGGUCUUUUGCCUAAAUAGCUCUGGUCCAGAGCAAGAAAAUGGUCAGCCAAGUACAAUAUGACGACCAUAUAAAUGUAUGAUCAUGAAUUGGAGAUUUUCUUAUUCAAUGAGAAAUCUCUAAACUUAUACAUAAAUAAAGAAGAAUUAUAUAAAUUUGGGUUA